ACCAGAUGACGAGUCCGAAAUAAGACGAAAUGCACAUCCUGGAU
rnacentral:hammerhead_ribozyme from 1 species